rnacentral:rRNA from 1 species
UACGGAGGGUGCAAGCGUUGUUCGGAAUCACUGGGCGUAAAGCGCACGUAGGCGGUCGAUCGUGUCGAGUGUGAAAGCCCUCGGCUCAACCGAGGAAGUGCACUCGAAACUGGUCGACUUGAGUCCGGUAGAGGAGGGUGGAAUUCCGGGUGUAGAGGUGAAAUUCGUAGAUAUCCGGAGGAACACCGGUGGCGAAAGCGGCCCUCUGGGCCGGUACUGACGCUGAGGUGCGAAAGCGUGGGGAGCAAACAGG